rnacentral:lncRNA from 13 species
UGCUGAUUUGUCUACUUUAACAGCAUGUGCAUGCUAGUCACAUAUUGUUAGAGACAGUAUUCUCUUUUGUUUGUUUGUUUUUGAGACAACCUCCUCCUCCCUGGUUCAAAUGAUUCUUAUGCUUUAGCUUACAGAGCAGCGGGGAUUACAGACACAUGCUAACACACCCAACUAAUUUUGGGAUAUUUAGUAGAGACCUGGUUUCACCUUGUCGGCCAGGCUACUCUUGAACAUCUGACCUCAAAUGAUCCUCCCAUCUCAGCCUCCCAAGGUGCUGGGAUUACAGAUCUCAAUGAAAAUUAUGAAAGCAUUCCCUUUGAAGGAAAUUAGAGGUCAUUUCUCAGAAUCAGGUAUCCACACCGAAACCUGUAAGUCGUGA